CACCCAAUGGAAUAGUAACAAGUUGUUCAGCUGGUUCACCUCUUUGCUGAUCUCUGGAUCAUCCUUUUGAUUAGGUAGUUCAAUUGGUAGAACUUCUAUUAGUUUCUUCAUUUUGGUAGCUAUCAAAAAGCAUUGCCUAGCAAGUAUUUGAUCUCCAUGCAUUUUUUCAAUUUCAUCUUUUGUUGAAAAUAGAACUAAUAGAUAAUAGGUGGAGACUACCGCUUUAAGGGCAUUGAGUUCGGGAUAGCCAACAAUGGCAUUAUAGGUUGAUGGGUAUCUUG
rnacentral:lncRNA from 1 species